rnacentral:rRNA from 1 species
AACGAACGCUGGCGGCGUGCUUAACACAUGCAAGUCGAACGAGAAAGGGGUCUUCGGACCCUGAGUAGAGUGGCGCACGGGUGAGUAACGCGUAGGUAAUCUAUCCUUAUAUUUGGGAUAACAUUGGGAAACUGGUGCUAAUACCGGAUACCCUUCUUUGCUGCGGGGCGAAGGAGGAAAGGUGGCCUCUUCAUGAAAGCUACCGUAUAGGGAUGAGCCUGCGUACCAUUAGCUAGUAGGUGGGGUAACGGCCCACCUAGGCGACGAUGGUUAGCGGGUCUGAGAGGAUGAUCCGCCACACUGGAACUGAAACACGGACCAGACUCCUACGGGAGGCAGCAGUGAGGAAUAUUGCGCAAUGGGGGAAACCCUGACGCAGCGACGCCGCGUGAGUGAGGAAGGUUUUCGGAUCGUAAAGCUCUGUCAGAA